rnacentral:rRNA from 1 species
GAUGAACGCUGGCGGCGUGCCUAAUACAUGCAAGUCGAGCGAACGGACGAGAAGCUUGCUUCUCUGAUGUUAGCGGCGGACGGGUGAGUAACACGUGGAUAACCUACCUAUAAGACUGGGAUAACUUCGGGAAACCGUAGCUAAUACCGGAUAAUAUUUUGAACCGCAUGGUUCAAAAGUGAAAGACGGUCUUGCUGUCACUUAUAGAUGGAUCCGCGCUGCAUUAGCUAGUUGGUAAGGUAACGGCUUACCAAGGCAACGAUGCAUAGCCGACCUGAGAGGGUGAUCGCCCACACGGGAACUGAGACACGGUCAAGACCCCGACGGGGGGGAGAAGUAGGGAAUCUUCCGAAAAGGGCGAAGGCCGGCGGGAGCACCGCCGCGGGAGUGAGAAAGUUGUGAGGAUCUAAAACCUGUUUUAUUAGGGAAAAAAAAAUGUGAAAGUAACUGGGCACAUCUGGACGGUACCUAAUCAGAAAGCCAGGGCUAACUCCGUG